UCGCCUGAAUGAUACGAUACAAAGUCUUUGUGUUCAGUAAAACCGUUUUAAUUCUCUUUCAGAUUGAGUGAACAUUACUUUCUGCUCUGAGAGACUUUAGUGAGUCGUUUUAUCGUGAUCCACAAUGACGCCUGUGGUGCUGCUCCUGUUUCUGGCUCCUCUGUUGAGCUGCUGCAGAGCGGAGGACAAACCUGUCGACUGCAGCGACAUCUUUAAACAAAACCCAAGCAGCGCCAGCGGAGUCUACUCCAUCUAUCCGUUCAGUGAGAGAUUCUCUGUCCAGGCCUAUUGUGACAGGGAAACAGACGGAGGAGGUUGGACAGUGAGUAUUUUCACUAAACUUUAGACCAGUUUGGACCAGGGAACUAGGUGGUGCUCACAUCCUAAAAUUACCAA
rnacentral:lncRNA from 1 species